CAAGAAUGGCGGAAUAAGAGACCUGUUUUCAAAAGGAACUGCAGCAAUCUUUGAAAGACUUCCAAAGAAUGUUAGAGCACAGUACAUAAUACACCUGUCCUAACCCCCACCCCACCCUGCGUGCAACUGCAGCUGACACUCCCACACAGCCUCUGCUCCGCCUUUCAGCUUGCAUCGUGCCUAGCGUUCCAUUUUGUGAAGCCCUGUUGUGCCAGAGUGUAGCCAGGUUCCCUGCAUCUAGUCCUAGGGGACCCAACCCAAGGCCCUGUGCGUGCCAGCUCCUCCAUCUGUACUUGGUCCAACUGCAGCUCAUUGUAGGUGACUGGUUCUCCACACCAUCACUGGCCCUGCUGGGCCCUGCAUGUAGUGUGGGAGGCUCCUGUUAGCCCUUGAUCAUGAUUGAUAAACGCUGCACACCCCCUAGAUAUAGAUAAGCAGAUAGCUAUCUGUUCUUUUGGCUUAAUCUCCUUUGGUUGGGUUUUCCCUUUUACUAAGGCUCUUUCCUACCUUCUUCAGGCUG
rnacentral:lncRNA from 1 species